CCUACGGGAGACAGCAGUGGGGAAUAUUGCACAAUGGGGGAAACCCUGAUGCAGCGACGCCGCGUGAGUGAAGAAGUAUCUCGGUACGUAAAGCGCUAUCAGCAGGGAAGAAAAUGACGGUACCUGACUAAGAAGCCCCGGCUAACUACGUGCCAGCAGCCGCGGUAAUACGUAGGGGGCAAGCGUGAUCCGGAUUUACUGGGUGUAAAGGGAGCGUAGACGGCAGCACAAGUCUGGAGUGAAAUCCCGGGGCUUAACCCCGGAACUGCUUUGGAAACUGGGCGGCUGGAGUGCAGGAGGGGUAAGCGGAAUUCCUAGUGUUGCGGGGUAAUGCGUAGAUAUUAGGAGGAACACCGGUGGCGAAGGCGGCUUACUGGACUGUAACUGACGUUGAGGCUCGAAAGCGUGGGGAGCAAACAGGAUUAGAUACCCGUGUAGUC
rnacentral:rRNA from 1 species